AUGGAGGAGGAGCCUUUUGUUAUUAAUGCUAAUGUUGCGUCUCCUGGCUCGGUUAGUAGUGUUCGCACAAGCAUCAAUCAAGCUUUGCAGAUUAAUGUUUGUCUGUUCAGUGACGCUGCUCAGUUUGUGGAUUGGUCUGUUGUUACUCCCAAGAGCUCUGAAGAUGUUCCUGAUGUGUUCAAUCUUGCUCUGUCGGUCAUUAAGGACAUGUGCAACCCAAAACCUAGUAGAGAUUUCUUGUUCUUCAAUUUGCCGGUGAUUCCCCCUAAGCUGAUCAGGUUUUUGGGUGUUCAAGUUGUCCUUGCUUCUGCCUCUGUUCAGCCUCAAGUGUCAAGGAAAGUAGCCCGUAAGCUGAGCUUUGACGAUACCCCAGGUUUGCUAUCAUUGCCUGCUGCUGAGGCUGUUAUCUCUGAUGAUGUUGCUUUCUUUGGUGAUUCUGAGCCUCAGACACUUGACAUAUCCCCUUUUGUCCUUUCUGACGAUCCUGUUGCUCAUUCUGGCAAAAAGAGAGGGAGAAAGGCUAGGACUGCAACUCCUCUGAUCACUUCUGAAGUUCGUAGAAGCAGUCGCAAUAACAUGUUUUGUGGGUUCAAGUUUGGUCCUAGCGGUUCCUGA
rnacentral:rRNA from 1 species